rnacentral:rRNA from 1 species
UACGAAGGGGGCUAGCGUUGUUCGGAAUUACUGGGCGUAAAGCGCACGUAGGCGGGUAUUUAAGUCAGGGGGGAAAUCCCAGAGCUCAACUCUGGAACUGCCUUUGAUACUGGGUACCUAGAGUGUGGAAGAGGUGAGUGGAAUUCCGAGUGUAGAGGUGAAAUUCGUAGAUAUUCGGAGGAACACCAGUGGCGAAGGCGGCUCACUGGUCCACUACUGACGCUGAGGUGCGAAAGCGUGGGGAGCAAACAGG